CUUUAUUAGCAUAAGGUUUCUGGGUGUGGAAGCCAAGAACCAUCAGGAAGAAAAGCCCAGUUCAGUUUGUCCUAUCAACCUAUUAAAGAAACCCUAGGGAAAAUGCGAGCGAAAUUCAUUACUCAAGAAAACAUUGGUCCGAAUUCAACACCAAUGUAUUCAACACAAGAUUCAACUCCCUUAAAAUUUUCUAUCUGCUUAAAACAAACCUCACCAACUCCCAAGUCCUGUCCCUGGGUGUGUAUGGUCUGCAGAGCAUAUAGGGAAUGUUUUGUUUUGUUUAACCGGAUAAUAAUCAGGGCGAGGAAGCGUUUCUUAAAUCCUCUGAGCUUAUCCCCGCCACUACCAAACAACCCGUUGGCCUCCACACUGUGGCGCCGGGGUCUUCCUGGGUUAUUUCCCAUACAGUGUAAUCCCGCCAGAGGCGAAGGGGCAUCUCAGCCCAGGCUCCAAUGAUGUCCAGGACAGAGGGCAGAUGUCUCAAGAGGAAACCUCCGCAGAGUCUCUCGCCCGGGCAAAGGGUGUCACAGGCAGGAGAAAAGCAGCGGACCAAGGCACAUGGGGGAGAUGACAGGCCACCGAGAGGGGCCGGUAUCCCAAGCACUCUGCUGUCACCGUCGGCACCCGGCGGCCGCCUUUACCUGCUCUGUUGCCGCCGCCAGCGCCGCGCGCUCCCCCUCACCAGGAGAAUCCGGAGUCGUCGUCGCUGCCGCUGCCACCGCCGCCGCCGCCGCCACCGAACUCCCCACCCCCGCCCCCUCAGGACUGGGGUCCAUAUAGAAGCAGAAGAGACACCAGAGCUCUCCACACGUGCACAGAGGAAAGGCCAUGUGAAGACACAGAGAGAUGGCAGCUGUCUACAAGCCAAGAAGAGAGCUCUCACCAGGAACAAGCCCUGCCAGCACCUUGAUCUUGGACUUCUAGCCUCCAGAACCGUGAGAAAAUAAACUUCUGCUA
rnacentral:lncRNA from 1 species